GUGCCAGCAGCCGCGGUAAUACGAAGGGGGCUAGCGUUGUUCGGAUUUACUGGGCGUAAAGCGCGUGUAGGCGGGCCGGUAAGUUGGGGGUGAAAUCCCGAGGCUCAACCUCGGAACUGCCUCCAAAACUGUCGGCCUGGAGCAAGAUAGAGGCGAGUGGAAUUGCGAGUGUAGAGGUGAAAUUCGUAGAUAUUCGCAGGAACACCAGUGGCGAAGGCGACUCGCUGGAUCUUUGCUGACGCUGAGACGCGAAAGCGUGGGGAGCAAACAGGAUUAGAAACCCUCGUAGUCC
rnacentral:rRNA from 1 species